CCCUUAGAUGUCCGGGGCUGCACGCGCGCUACACUGAAGGAAUCAGCGUGCUAAAACCAUUGUCGAAAGGCAUUGGUAAACCCAUUAAAAUCCUACGUGAUUGGGAUCGGGAAUUGCAAUUAUUUCCCUUGAACGAGGAAUUCCCAGUAAGUGUGGGUCAUAAGCUCGCGUUGAUUACGUCCCUGCCCUUUGUACACACCGCCCGUCGCUGCCCGGGACUGAGCCGUUUCGAGAAAAGCGGGGCCUGCUGCUGUCGGGGCUUUCGGGCCUUGGCUUCGGUGGAAACCGCUUUAAUCGCAGUGGCUUGAACCGGGCAAAANUCGUANCA
rnacentral:rRNA from 1 species